GAAGGGUGCAAGCGUUACUCGGAAUUACUGGGCGUAAAGCGUGCGUAGGUGGUUUGUUAAGUCAGAUGUGAAAGCCCCGGGCUCAACCUGGGAAUUGCAUUUGAUACUGGCGAACUAGAGUGAGGUAGAGGAGAGUGGAAUUCCCGGUGUAGCAGUGAAAUGCGUAGAGAUCGGGAGGAACAUCAGUUGCGAAGGCGGCUCUCUGGACCAUCACUGACACUGAGGCACGAAAGUGUGGGGAGCAAACAGGAUUAGAUACCCUGGUAGUCCACGCCCUAAACGAUGCGAACUGGACGUUGGGAUCAAUUGAGAUUUCAGUGUCGAAGCUAACGCGUUAAGUUCGCCGCCUGGGGAGUACGGUCGCAAGGCUG
rnacentral:rRNA from 1 species